CCUACGGGGGGCUGCAGUGGGGAAUAUUGGACAAUGGGGGGAACCCUGAUCCAGCCAUGCCGCGUGUGUGAAGAAGGCCCUCGGGUUGUAAAGCACUUUCAGUGAGGAAGAACGCCUGGUGGUUAAUACCCAUCAGGAAAGACAUCACUCACAGAAGAAUCACCGGCUAACUCCGUGCCAGCAGCCGCGGUAAUACGUAGGGUGCGAGCGUUAAUCGGAAUUACUGGGCGUAAAGCGCGCGUAGGUGGCUUGAUAAGCCGGUUGUGAAAGCCCCGGGCUCACCCUGGGAACGGCAUCCGGAACUGUCAAGCUAGAGUGCAGGAGAGGAAGGUAGAAUUCCCGGUGUAGCGGUGAAAUGCGUAGAGAUCGGGAGGAAUACCAGUGGCGAAGGCGGCCUUCUGGACUGACACUGACACUGAGGUGCGAAAGCGUGGGUAGCAAACAGGAUUAGAUACCCGUGUAGUC
rnacentral:rRNA from 1 species